rnacentral:tRNA from 1 species
GAAAUUCUUAUUAAACUACUUCUUG